rnacentral:sRNA from 1 species
UCCACCUGCCCCGGGGAGAUGAAGUGGAUGUGGGUGUCCACCGCCCCGGCGGUGACAAUCUUGCCCUCCCCGCCAAUGACCUCCGUGCCCACGCCCACCACAAUAUCCACGUCAUCCUGGAUAUCAGGGUUGCCCGCGUUGCCAAUCUUUAAGAUUUUGCCGUCCUUGACCGCGAUAUCCGCCUUGUAGAUCCCGGUGUAGUCAAUGAUGGUGGCGUUGGUAAUCAGCAGGUCCGGGAUGGUGUCAGCACCCGUGGUGCGACUGUUGUGCCCCAUGCCGUCACGGA